rnacentral:rRNA from 1 species
GAUGAACGCUAGCUACAGGCUUAACACAUGCAAGUCGAGGGGUAACGAGAGGAAAGCUUGCUUUCCUUGUCGACGACCGGCGCACGGGUGAGUAACGCGUAUCCAACCUGCCCCCAACUAGGGAAUAACCUUGCGAAAGUAAGACUAAUACCCUAUAAUUUCCUCAGAUGACAUCUGACGAGGAAUAAAGAUUUAUCGGUUGUGGAUGGGGAUGCGUCUGAUUAGAUUGUUGGCGGGGUAACGGCCCACCAAGGCAACGAUCAGUAGGGGUUCUGAGAGGAAGGUCCCCCACAUUGGAACUGAGACACGGUCCAAACUCCUACGGGAGGCAGCAGUGAGGAAUAUUGGUCAAUGGGCGGAAGCCUGAACCAGCCAAGUAGCGUGCAGGAUGACGGCCCUACGGGUUGUAAACUGCUUUUAUACAGGAAUAAAGUUAGCCACGUGUGGUUAUUUGUAGGUACUGUAUGAAUAAGGACCGGCUAAUUCCGUGCCAGCCGCCGCAGUAA